rnacentral:misc_RNA from 1 species
AAAUAAUCAUAGUGAGCCUCAUACUUCUGUCCAACUUCAUAGUGAAGAACCUGCAGCCCUUCUCCAUGCUCUACAGGAAUGAAAGAGAAGUCUGCUACCCUCUUUUCAAUGCUCUUGAUAAGUUUAUCUUGUCCUCUCCUCAGAAACAUUCCAGAACUCGUACGAACCCUGCUAUCUUUACUUUUACCUGUCUUGCUAUCUACCACAGUUGACUUUGUCAUGUGUGGUUUAGCCAGAGCUAUUAGGUGCUCACAUUCUUCUUUUGACAAGAAAUUGUGAUAAAGAAAUGCUCGAGGCUCCCAAGAAAUAAUUUCAGUCCACUGCUCUCCUCUCUUACCCAAACCAUCACCAUCUCUUUCAACUGCCAUACGCCGAUAGGAAGUAGUGAGAUGAUUGGGAGGAGCAUCGGCGCUGCUUAUAGGAAGAGAGAAGAUUCCCAGAGCCAAAAGCAUCAAUAGAACCACCGUUAGCAUAAAUAGCAUCGUCAAUACCAGCCACAAUGUCGACCAUUUCCUUGCUUGUAUCCUUGAGUGCCUCAGCUUCGCCAUUUCCAAAUUAGCUUCCAAACCCUAGUUAAUCAAUAAAAUUACUAAUAUAUGCGCAACUUUGAAAUUUCAAUUUGUGUGUAAACGUGCGAGAUGUGGAUUAGGGCAGCAGUGUCAAAGGACCGGCGAUUGGUAGUAGGACGUCAG